rnacentral:tRNA from 1 species
GCCUGGGUGGCUCAGUGGUUGAGCGCCUGCCUUUGGCUCAGGUCGUGAUCCCUGGAUCCGGGAUCGAGUCCCGCAUCGGGCU